UUGACGGGGAGCACCACAACAGGUGGAGCCUGCGGUUUAAUCGGACUCAACGCCGGGAAACUCACCAGAUAAGACAGCUGAAUGAUAGUCGGGCUGAAGACUCUACUUGACUAGCUGAGAGGAGGUGCAUGGCCGUCGUCAGUUCGUACUGUGAAGCAUCCUGUUAAGUCAGGCAACGAGCGAGACCCACGCCAACAGUUGCCAGCUCGUCCUCCGGGAUGGUGGGGACACUGUUGGGACCGCCUCUGCUAAAGAGGAGGAAGGAAUGGGCAACGGUAGGUCAGCAUGCCCCGAAUUAUCCGGGCUACACGCGGGCUACAAUGGUCAGGACAAUGGGUAUCGACACCGAGAGGUGGAGGCAAUCUCCUAAACCUGUCCUUAGUUCGGAUUGUGGGCUGCAACUCGCCCACAUGAAGCUGGAAUCCGUAGUAAUCGCGUUUCAAAAUAGCGCGGUGAAUAUGUCCCUGCUCCUU
rnacentral:rRNA from 1 species